rnacentral:rRNA from 1 species
CCUACGGGCGGCAGCAGUGAGGAAUAUUGGUCAAUGGCCGGAAGGCUGAACCAGCCAUGCCGCGUGAAGGUCAGUGCCCUAUGGGCGUUAAACUUCUUUUGUGCGGGAGCAAUAAUGGUCACGUGUGGCCAGACGAGAGUACCGUACGAAUAAGCAUCGGCUAACUCCGUGCCAGCAGCCGCGGUAAUACGGGGGAUGCAAGCGUUAUCCGGAGUUAUUGGGUUUAAAGGGUGCGUAGGAGGGGAGGUAAGUCAGCGGGGAAAUGCCCCCGCGCAGCGGGGUGAAGUGCCUUUGAUACUGGCUGGCUGGAAUGCGGAUGACGUGGGAGGAAUGUGUGGUGUAGCGGUGAAAUGCAUAGAUAUCACACAGAACACCGAUUGCGAAGGCAUCUCACGAAGCCGCGAUUGACGCUGAGGCACGAAAGCGUGGGUAUCAAACAGGAUUAGAUACCCUGGUAGUC